AGGGCUAUAGCUCAGAGUACAGCACCUUCCUGGCAAGUGGGAGGUCCUGAGUUCAAUUCCUAGUAACUCCC
rnacentral:tRNA from 1 species